UACGUAGGGUGCAAGCGUUGUCCGGAAUUAUUGGGCGUAAAGAGCUCGUAGGCGGUCUGUUGCGUCCGCUGUGAAAACUCGGGGCUUAACCCCGAGCCUGCAGUGGAUACGGGCAGACUAGAGGUAGGUAGGGAGAAUGGAAUUCCCGGUGUAGCGGUGAAAUGCGCAGAUAUCGGGAGGAACACCGGUGGCGAAGGCGGUCUCUGGGCCUUACCUGACGCUGAGGAGCGAAAGCGUGGGGAGCGAACAGG
rnacentral:rRNA from 1 species